AGUGAACGCUGGCGGCAUGCCUAACACAUGCAAGUCGAACGGCAGCACAGUAAGCGCUUGCUAUUACGGGUGGCGAGUGGCGGGUGGGUGAGGAAUACAUCGGAAUCUACUUUUUCGUGGGGGAUAACGUAGGGAAACUUAAGCUAAUACCGCAUACGACCUACGGGUGAAAGCAGGGGAUCUUCGGACCUUGCGCGUUUGAUUGAGCCGAUGCCGGAUUAGCUAGUUGGCGGGGUAAAGGCCCACCAAGGCGACGAGCCGUAGCUGGUCUGUGAGGAUGAGCAGCCCCACGGGAAUGAACACACGGUCCAGACCCGUACGGGGGGCAGCAGUGGGAAAUAUUGGACAAUGGGGGAAAGUCUGAUCAAGCCAGACCGCGUGGGUGAAGAAGGCCGUGGGGUGGUAAAGCCCUUUUGUUGGGAAAAAAACGUAGCAGGUUAAUACCGCGCUGUUCGAAGGGUACCCAAAAAAUAAGCACCGGCUAACAUCGG
rnacentral:rRNA from 1 species